UAGGAUGGAGACCUGGCCAGGGCAGAGGGA
rnacentral:piRNA from 1 species